rnacentral:rRNA from 1 species
AGAGUUUGAUCCUGGCUCAGGAUGAACGCUGGCGGCGUGCCUAAUACAUGCAAGUCGAACGGAGCCGCAAGGCUUAGUGGCGACCGGGUGCGUAACACGUAGCUGACCUGCCCGCUCACGGGGGACAACUGUUGGAAACGACAGCUAAUACCGCAUGGUCUUGGCCUGACUAAAGAGGGUCAAGUAAACUUACGGGGUGAGCGGAGGGGGCUGCGGCCCAUCAGGUAGUUGGUGAGGUAACGGCUCACCAAGCCGACGACGGGUAGGGGGCCUGAGAGGGUGGUCCCCCACACUGGGACUGACAACGGCCCAGACUCCUACGGGAGGCAGCAGUAGGGAUAUUGCGCAAUGGGCGAAAGCCUGACGCAGCAACGCCGCGUGGAGGAUGAAGGCCUUCGGGUCGUAAACUCGUUUUGCCCGUGACGAGCAAGGACGGUAGCGGGCGAAUAAGUCACGGCUAACUACGUGCCAGCAGCCGCGGUAAAACGUAGGUGGCGAGCGUUAUCCGGAUUUACUGGGCGUAAAGGGUGUGCAGGCGGGCGACCAAGUGGUGUAUGAAAUCUCCGGGCCUAAGUCGGAGGGGUUAUGCCAGACUGGUCGUCUUGAGCGUGAGAGAGGGACAUGGAAUUCCGGGUGUAGUGGUGAAAUGCGUAGAGAUCCGGGGGAACCCCAGAGGCGAAGGCGGUGUCCUGGCUCACGGCUGACGCUCAGCCACGACAGCAUGGGGAGCGAACGGGAUUAGAAACCCCGGUAGUCCAUGCCGUAAACGAUGCCAACUAGGCGCUGGGGGUCUCAACCCCCUCGGUGCCGUAGCUAACGCGCUAAGUUGGCCGCCUGGGGAGUACGACCGCAAGGUUAAAACUCAAAGGAAUUGACGGGGGCCCGCACAAGCAGCGGAGCGUGUGGUUUAAUUCGAGGCUACACGAAGAACCUUACCUAGCCUUGACAUGCAGUCGAACGAACGCGAAAGCGCGAGGGCCGCAAGGCGACUGCACCGGUGCUGCAUGGCUGUCGUCAGCUCGUGCCGUGAGGUGUUAGGUUAAGUCCUGUAACGAGCGCAACCCCUAGGUUCAGUUACACGGUGUCUGAACCGACUGCCCGUGACAAGCGGGAGGAAGGUGGGGAUGACGUCAAGUCAGCAUGGCCUGUAUGGCUAGGGCUACACACACGCUACAAUGGCCGGUACAAUGGGUCGCCAACCCGCAAGGGGGAGCCAAUCCACCAAAGCCGGUCUCAGUUCGGAUUGUGGGCUGCAACCCGCCCACAUGAAGUUGGAGUUGCUAGUAACCGCGCGUCAGCUACAGCGCGGUGAAUACGUUCCCGGGCCUUGUACACACCGCCCGUCACGUCAUGGGAGCUGGUCACGCCUGAAGCCAGUGGGCUAACCGCAAGGAGGCAACUGUCCAAGGCAGGGCCG